rnacentral:rRNA from 1 species
AUUGAACGCUGGCGGCAGGCCUAACACAUGCAAGUCGAGCGGAGCGGCGGACGGGUGAGUAAUGCCUAGGAAUCUGCCUGGUCGUGGGGGAUAACGUCCGGAAACGGGCGCUAAUACCGCAUACUAUCAGAUGAGCCUAGGUCGGAUUGGCUAGUUGGUGGGGUAAAGGCCUACCAAGGCGACGAUCCGUAACUGGGCUGAGAGGAUGAUCAGUCAAACUGGAACUGAGAGACGGUCCAGACUCCUACGGGAGGAAGCAGUGGGGAAGAUUGGACAAUGGGCGAAAGCGUGAUCCAGCCAUGCCGCGUGGGUGAAGAAGGGCUUCGGAUUGUAAAGCACUUUAAGUUGGGAGGCGGUACCAGCAGAAGAAGCACCGGCUAACUUCGUGCCAGCAGCCGCGGUAAUAC